UAACUGCGUGCAGACGUGUGAACUGCAGGACACAUGAACACCGACGUUUUGAACGCAAAUGGCGGCUUGAAAUAAAUUUCAAGCCACGUCUGGCUGAGGGUCGGAUUUAAAAUCAAAAUUAAAAAUGCUCUUGCAAGUACAUGGAAAUGUCAAUGCAGAGUUUUAUCGUCAAGUUUUCUUAAAGCUUGAUUAGAAUAUCAAUGUAUGUUUGCUAAGUUUGGUCUAAUGUUUUGGGAGCAAGCAGCAGAUUUAUGUAAUAAUAAAAUCUGUGGAAGCAGCAACAUACUAUUGAGAAAACCAUUAUAAAAUGAAUCACAUAUACGACCUCAGAGUAGGCGAGAUUACCCGCUAAAUUUAA
rnacentral:misc_RNA from 1 species